rnacentral:rRNA from 1 species
AUUGAACGCUGGCGGCAGGCUUAACACAUGCAAGUCGAGCGGAGAGAGGUAGCUUGCUACUGAUCUUAGCGGCGGACGGGUGAGUAAUGCUUAGGAAUCUGCCUAUUAGUGGGGGACAACAUUCCGAAAGGAAUGCUAAUACCGCAUACGUCCUACGGGAGAAAGCAGGGGAUCUUCGGACCUCGCGCUAAUAGAUGAGCCUAAGUCGGAUUAGCUAGUUGGUGGGGUAAAGGCCUACCAAGGCGACGAUCUGUAGCGGGUCUGAGAGGAUGAUCCGCCACACUGGGACUGAGACACGGCCCAGACUCCUACAGGAGGCAGCAGUGGGGAAUAUUGGACAAUGGGGGGAACCCUGAUCCAGCCAUGCCGCGUGUGUGAAGAAGGCCUUAUGGUUGUAAAGCACUUUAAGCGAGGAGGAGGCUGCCUGGAUUAAUACUCUGGGAUAGUGGACGUUACUCGCAGAAUAAGCACCGGCUAACUCUGUGCCAGCCGCCGCCGUAAAAC